AGAGUUUGAUCCUGGCUCAGGACGAACGCUGGCGGCGUGCUUAACACAUGCAAGUCGAACGCUGAAGCCUAGCUUGCUGGGUGGAUGAGUGGCGAACGGGUGAGUAACACGUGAGUAACCUGCCCCCUUCUUUGGGAUAACGCCCGGAAACGGGUGCUAAUACUGGAUAUUCACUGAUCUUCGCAUGGGGGUUGGUGGAAAGGUUUUUUCUGGUGGGGGAUGGGCUCGCGGCCUAUCAGCUUGUUGGUGGGGUGAUGGCCUACCAAGGCUUUGACGGGUAGCCGGCCUGAGAGGGUGACCGGUCACAUUGGGACUGAGAUACGGCCCAG
rnacentral:rRNA from 1 species